UAGAUUUGGUGCAGUCUUUAUUUGAGCACUCAGCCACUCCGUAGCCUCAGAUAUCACAGCAAAAAGGAGCCAGAUCUAAACAGAAAGCAGUUCAAUACGUUUUCAAGUUCAUUACUUCCUGUUCCAAGUCAACACAAUCAUUUAAAGUGCAUUUCAGAUUGAGCCUUCUCUUUUUUUUUGACAAGCUCAAGAACUCCGUGACAAUUACACACAGAUAUAGAUAAUGUAUGUCAUAUACAUAUAAAUAAUUAGCAUUGUGUACAACAGUAUGUUUUCAAUCGUUAUCGUAUUGCACAAAUUAAAUAGCAGUAUAGCAAACAUGAAAGUAAAACAGAAUUGUCAGGAAGAUUAACACAAACGCACGAGGAAACCGAUCCUCAGAGCAGACUCUCUCCAUUUUUAGUUUCCUGUCACAGGUGAGAAAAACAAGUUCUACUGUACAGUCAAUGUGGUGGCUGGCGAGGUGAAGGACUUGAACAGGACAGUACGUCAUACAGUACUGCAUAUUGAAUAUACUCGUGUUACGGAGUUGUACGUUUACAGCAGUAAUAUUAGACUACAACAAAGCGAAGGAUUAUGGAGCCCAAACGGAACCCUUUCCACCUAGAAGAUAACUGGUUCAUGUUUCUAUUAUCCUACCAGUAGUCCUUCUACAGUAGAGGUUCUACUGGUAGCGAGGAGACAUAUCGGCCGUGUCCGAAUAUUUGUACUUGCGUUCUAAAUAGCAGGCUGAUUAGGUAUGCGACAUUUCGAAAAUGUUGUUUGCUUUACAUGCCAGGAUGUUGUAUUAAUUUUGCCUUUUAAUCUAGUAUGAAUAGCUGCAUGCUAUUGAGGACGAGAAUUGUCUUUUCAGAGCCACAUGUUUUUGACAACAGCAGAUAACCAGAAAAAGGGGACAGACUAACAAACACAAGUGUGCAUUCCUUGACGCAUUCUCAGAUAUGUGUUGUUCACUAUCUAAAAUGUUCAUUUUUACUAAACAGUACAUUCUGAAUAGUAUGUACUGUAGAAUGAUUAGUAUGCAGUAUGUCGUUUUAGGAAGUAGCAGGCGAAACAGAUUUCGGACACAACCAUUGGCUGCCUGGUGCGAUAGUUUCCGCGUUCCACACGGCACCCUAAUCCCUAUAUAGUGCACUACUUUGGGAACGUCUGGGGUAACGUCAUAAGGCUCCGGUCAAAAGUAGAACACUAUAAAAGGGCAUAGGGUGCCAUUUGGGGAGCAGACCGUGUUUAAGACCACCCUGAUGAAAUAAUGAAGAACAUUAACUGAACAGAUGGUUAUGAGCGGAAAACACAUCCCGCUGUUUACAAUGUCAUUUCAUCAAUGAAACUACAGUUUCAGCAUUUCUAAAAUAUAAAUACAAUAAAAAUGCAUAAAUUAAAAAAAGCUAGUAAAAAAGAGCCUUAAAGCUAAGAUUUGGGAAGUCGGAAAGAGACGGCAACACAGAGACAAAUCUCCUCAAGACUGCUUACAAGAAAGAGGAGACACACCAGAGAGCAUCAAAGCAUGCGAGCUGUCAGCACUGGAAGCAUAGCUUGGCGAGCUUUUUCAAAUACAGUACUGUAGCUCCACUAACCUGGCCUGUGUUACAGAGAAUGCUACUGUAGUGAGAAAGAGACACAAACAGGUUUGCCCUCCCCAAUCAGAAUGUGUUGAGAGUGAGCCUGCGACAGUAAAUACUAAGUGCGACUGGCAUUCUAACAUCUGCUAGGCUGCGCGGGCAUAACGCAUAACCCUGUGUUGAACCCUGUAGAGGGGCGGAGGGAUACAGAAAGGGAUAUACCUGUGAACCCAAGGCAGACUCACUCUCUCCUCUCAGCACACACAGUUGGGCCCACUCUUACCGUACUCUUCCAUUCCUCCAGGAGGAACACUCCCUCAUCUACAUACCCAACUAUCUAUAUGGUCCUACUUUAAUCAAAGAGAUGGAGAUCACACCAAAUGUUCAGGACCACGAGAAUUGAAGUCACAAAAGCAGGCACUUUUGUAAUACACAAGAAGAGUAUUGCUGCUACAUGACCUUAUUAUAUCCUGUUGACCGUACAGUCAAUUCGAGGGCAAGUUUUUUGUUCAAUCUACAUACCAUAUUAUGGUAAGGCAAAGCUAGACAACCGGAAAAUAAUAAUGCAUUAUUAAUAAAUCGCAACCCUUUUCAAUAACUUUAGGUCACUAUUUUUUGGGGGGUUUGGGUGAGAACUUCUCAGAGGUAAAUACGUUGAGCUUCUGUUAAGAUCUCGUUAAUCUAAAAAAACAUUUCCACCCCUGAAUAUUCUAAAUCCUUUAAAUCAAGGACUCUCACUGUCAAACAGGAAUUGAUUAAAUUCAUCUCUGUCUCAUCCCUACAGGUCCUCAAAUAGUAGUUCAUUUAUUGUUUGUUUAUCAUUUGAAGAGAUGAAAUGUAUAAAAAGUAUGUUGUUCUUCUCUGGGUGGGAUGGGGAAGCAGCCUUGCAAAUAGGAGAAUUGAUUUGGAGUGACAUUUCUCAUGUCCCGGGACUGUUGGGAGUGAUGUCAUGUACAUACUUGGUGGGGUUGCUGUUGCCAGUCUGUUUGUGUAUCAUGCCAACUCCUUUACACUCAUCAUCAUGCCAAACACGUUUGGCUUGACAAUGACAGCGAUGGAGUCAGAAAAAAACAGAUCUGGAACCAGGAUAGGAAUGCUGCCGAAUGUACUUCGAAACGCUUGACAAAUAUAACACAAGGGUACAUGACCUUUACGGGGCAUGGCUUUCAAUCAUUUAGAAAUGGGAAGACAAAUACUUCAAGAGCUGUGUGGCAGCAAGACAAGUGCUUGGGAUAUCAAGUACAUUUGUACACUACAGUUGGCUUAACAUAGGAUCAUAAUGAGAGGGGUACAUGAAGGCCAACAGCACAUUGUCCACUGUGCUGUGACUAUGUACCAAUGAGACGUAUCUUCCAUGAGUAGGGCACAACUGUGUUGCAUAGAAAAGCAUGGGAAGCUUUAGUGGGGGAAGAAGAAUGACCAAAUUAAGUUACAGAAAGAGGCAUUCUCAAUCUUAUCUUUGAGACUGUGUUGACUGGGUGAUGUUGUUCCUCUCAGAGCAUUCUACAACGUAUGCUGAGCCAACCAAUCAGAAGACUUGGGAUCAAAAGGUCAGUUAUGACAUAAGGGAAAUAAGGACCUGAUCGGUCAAGGGUAUAAAUGGCACCCAUUAGGCUCCUACUUAAAGCCCUCUAGGACUAAACAUAGCGACGGACCAGGAAGUAGUUAGACAUUAUGGCUUUGAAGAAGAGGAAUCCCUCUCUACCCUCCUUGACACGCUAGCCCACUGUGACACACUCAAUGGGACCCUUGGGGGAAGGACUGAGAGAAGAAGGUGUGGUAGAAGACAUGGAGGGUGGGUGUUAUACCGUAGGAAUGAGUCUGGCCCUGCUGUCGACAGGGACACACUGAGCAUGUGCUUCAACCACUUGACAUCAACACAUCCCUCUGCUGUGCCACUCGGCCGCGUAACCAUGCCAACUGGACCCGACUCGACACCAUUACGGAAUCACAUGGUCACCACAAGCCUGCACACUAUAACAGCAAUAUUGUUUCAUGCUAGGACCUUUUCUUUCUUUUUUCUUUCUUUCUGUCCCCUUCUAUUAAGGGCCCUGGCCUGAAGCACAUCUAGAAGCGGAGCUCUUCUCUUCUGCAGCGUCAUUACAGUAGCGUGUAGGAGGCCUCUUCCUACAGACCAAACUAGACCUUCUCAUUACGGAAGCACGGGGAAACAAAGACAGCUCUGUCAGAGCACCAACUGCACAAGAUGGCUCCUCUAGAUGGAUCCCUGCUAUCCCUGUGUCUCAAUCCAACUGCAACGGACAAGACAGACAGACUAACUGAAUGACUGUCGGUAGACAGUGGUCGCUACAGCUACAUUUGAGAAUGCACCAAAACACGCAAGGCAGAAAGAAUACAGGUGUUUUGAAACCAGAGAGAAGUAAUACUGAGAAGUGGCAAGGGGAACUUUAGAACCUAACACAACUGUUAGAAUCUCCCCAGUUUAGCCAGAGGGACAAUAUCUGAUGUAACUAUAUUCUCUAGUCUAUAUAACCAAAAUAUCUGCACUUCUAAAAGUGUUCCCCGCUCAAGUCAAAAGGGAUUCUCUGUUCCUGUAACCGUUUUUCUGUGUUAUAAUAUCGUCUUCAUUCAUCUAGGACACUGUUCAGAGAGUACAUCAGGUCAAUAGCUAUACUAAGCGCAACAACUACAUACAGGUAUCAUGUAGUAGUUCAGUAAGUCAACUAGUAUUAGGGCACCUAAAUGCUAUAUUAAGGUCAGAUAGUUGUACUUGCGGUGUACCUACGCACGCAGAACCAUCAUCUGGGAUACGUUUUGGUGUACGUACGCAUGAGGAACCAUCAUCUGGGAUAUGUUUUGGUGUACGUACGCAUGAGGAACCAUCAUCUGGGAUACGUUUUGGUGUACCUACGCACGCAGAACCAUCAUCUGGGAUAUGUUGUGGUGUACGUACGCAUGAGGAACCAUCAUCUAGGAUAUGUUGUGG
ensembl:lncRNA